GACGAACGCUGGCGGCGUGCUUAACACAUGCAAGUCGAACGGUAAGGCCCUUCGGGGUGCACGAGUGGCGAACGGGUGAGUAACACGUGGGUGAUCUGCCCUGCACUUCGGGAUAAGCCUGGGAAACUGGGUCUAAUACCGGAUAGGACCACUGCCUGCAUGGGUGGUGGUGGAAAGCUUUUGCGGUGUGGGAUGGGCCCGCGGCCUAUCAGCUUGUUGGUGGGGUGAUGGCCUACCAAGGCGACGACGGGUAGCCGGCCGGAGAGGGUGACCGGCCACACUGGGACUGGGAUACGGCCCAGACUCCUACGGGAGGCAGCAGUGGGGAAGAUUGCACAAUGGGCGCAAGCCUGAUGCAGCGACGCCGCGUGAGGGAUGACGGCCUUCGGGUUGUAAACCUCUUUCAGCACCGACGAAGCGCAAGUGACGGUAGGUGCAGAAGAAGGACCGGCCAACUACGUGCCAGCCGCCGCGGUAA
rnacentral:rRNA from 1 species